rnacentral:rRNA from 1 species
GUAGGGAAUAUUGGGCAAUGGUCGAGAGACUGACCCAGCCAUGCCGCGUGCCGGAUGAAGGCCUUCUGGGUUGUAAACGGCUUUUCUCAGGGAAGAAAAAGACCUUGCGAGGUACACUGACGGUACCUGAGGAAUAAGCACCGGCUAACUCCGUGCCAGCAGCCGCGGUAAUACGGAGGGUGCAAGCGUUGUCCGGAUUUAUUGGGUUUAAAGGGUGCGUAGGUGGCCUGGUAAGUCCGUGGUGAAAGCCUGCUGCUCAACAGCAGAACUGCCAUGGAUACUGCCGGGCUUGAGUCCAGACGAGGUUGGCGGAAUAGAAGGUGUAGCGGUGAAAUGCAUAGAUACCUUCUAGAACCCCGAUUGCGUAGGCAGCUGACUAGGCUGGUACUGACACUGAGGCACGAAAGCGUGGGGAGCGAACAGG